GGGCCCGCACAAGCGGUGGAGCAUGUGGUUUAAUUCGAUGAUACGCGAGGAACCUUACCAGGGCUUAAAUGGGAAAUGACAGGGGCAGAGACGCCCCCUUCUUCGGACAUUUUUCAAGGUGCUGCAUGGUUGUCGUCAGCUCGUGCCGUGAGGUGUCAGGUUAAGUCCUAUAACGAGCGCAACCCCUACCGUUAGUUGCCAGCGUGUAAUGACGGGGACUCUAACGGAACUGCCAGUGCAAACCGUGAGGAAGGUGGGGACGACGUCAAAUCAUCACGGCCCUUACGUCCUGGGCCACACACGUGCUACAAUGGUAGGUACAGAGGGAAGCCACCCCGCGAGGGGGAGCGGAUCUAUAAAACCUAUCUCAGUUCGGAUUGAGGUCUGCAACUCGACCUCAUG
rnacentral:rRNA from 1 species